rnacentral:rRNA from 1 species
CAGAAACUACAAAGGAAGUUAGACGGGGCCCGGCACAAGCGGUGGAGUAUGUGGUUUAAUUCGAUGCAACGCGAAGAACCUUACCUGGUCUUGACAUCCCGGAGACCCUUAGGAAACUAGGGGUGCUUCCAUCUGGAAGAAUCUGGAGACAGGUGCUGCAUGGCUGUCGUCAGCUCGUGUCGUGAGAUGUUGGGUUAAGUCCCGCAACGAGCGCAACCCUUGCCUUUAGUUGCCAGCAGUUCGGCUGGGCACUCUAAAGGGACUGCCGGUGUUAAACCGGAGGAAGGUGGGGAUGACGUCAAGUCCUCAUGGCCUUUAUGACCAGGGCUACACACGUACUACAAUGGCCGAUACAAAGGGCAGCGACACUGCGAGGUGAAGCCAAUCCCGUAAAAUCGGUCUCAGUCCGGAUUGGAGUCUGCAACUCGACUCCAUGAAGUUGGAAUCGCUAGUAAUCGUGGAUCAGCAUGCCACGGUGAAUACGUUCCCGGGCCUU